rnacentral:tRNA from 3 species
GCCCCCGUAGCUCAGGGGACAGAGCAGCGGUUUCCUAAACCGCGUGUCGGAGGUUCGAGUCCUUCCGGGGGCA